UAAUGAAUACUGGAGCAGAAACAGAUGUUGCAUGCAAAUACACAUAAGAAAAGAAAAUCCGAUCAGCCACAUUUCUUCUUUCGAAGAAUGACUUUUAGAGUCCACAAGUUUCUUCUAGAAAAGAAUGAACUACCUUUACUGGGGAGAAAAAAGAGAAUUUAGAGCAAAACAGGGCAACCAAUUCUUUGUUGACCCUUCGUCUCACCUCAGUAAAGAUCAAAAGAACACAAGGAAGAAAAGUGCCAGAAGAGCAAACAGCUUCAGAUAAGUCAGGAAGCUGACACAGUGAAAAGCAAGAUGCAGUUUCAAAACUGAAUGUAUUUGGCUUUCCAAGGAUUUGAAGCAUGAAAGCAACAUUUCUGAAUAUUUUUAAAACCUGCUGUGCAUCAUGUAAUCCAGUUUUGCAUGUUAAAUCUGUUUUUAAGGUUAUCUUCAAAGUACAUUCAAUGAAAAGUCCCAACAAUCUUUACAAAAGAAACAGAGCAAUCAUUUUUGAAUGUAAGCUGCUUGGACUAGUAUCUGUGAAUGAGAAAUGAUGUACCUCUGUUUAUUUGUGGUUACUAAAUGAUAGUCUGUAAUACAAAUUGUAUACAAUGGUACAUACACAAAAGAAUUCUUGAUGAUUCUUUCCUCAAAAGAUUCAUGUAAA